rnacentral:rRNA from 1 species
GACGGAGGGUGCAAGCGUUGCUCGGAAUCAUUGGGCGUAAAGCGCACGUAGGCGGCUUUGCAAGUCAGAGGUGAAAGCCCGGGGCUCAACCCCGGAAUUGCCUUUGAGACUGCAUCGCUAGAAUUGUGGAGAGGUAAGUGGAAUUCCGAGUGUAGAGGUGAAAUUCGUAGAUAUUCGGAAGAACACCAGUGGCGAAGGCGACUUACUGGACACAUAUUGACGCUGAGGUGCGAAAGCGUGGGGAGCAAACAGG